AGAGUUGAUAGGCUCAGGAUGAACGCUAGCGACAGGCUAACACAUGCAAGUCGAGGGGCAGCAUAAAAGUAGCAAUACUUGGUGGCGACCGGCGCACGGGUGAGUAACGCGUAUGCAACCUACCUAUCAGGAGGGGAAUAACCCGGCGAAAGUCGGACUAAUACCGCAUAAAACAGGGGCACCGCAUGGUGAUAUUUGUUAAAGAAAUUCGCUGAUAGAUGGGCAUGCGUUCCAUUAGGUAGUUGGUGAGGUAACGGCUCACCAAGCCGACGAUGGAUAGGGGAACUGAGAGGUUGGUCCCCCACACUGGUACUGAGACACGGACCAGACUCCUACGGGAGGCAGCAGUGAGGAAUAUUGGUCAAUGGGCGAGAGCCUGAACCAGCCAAGUCGCGUGAAGGAAGAAGGAUCUAUGGUUCGUAAACUUCUUUUGCAGGGGAAUAAAGUGCAGGACGUGUCCUGUUUUGUAUGUACCCUGAGAAUAAGGAUCGGCUAACUCCGUGCCAGCAGCGGC
rnacentral:rRNA from 1 species